CUGGUUACAGCUGUCCCUAAUGACACCAGGCUACAGCUGUCCCAGCCUCCCUAAUGACACCAGGUUACAGCUGUCCCAGCCUCCCUAAUGACACCUGGCUACAGCUGUUCCUAAUGACACCAGGUUACAGCCUCCCGAAUGACACCAGGUUACAGCUGUCCCAGCCUCCCUAAUGACUCCUGGUUAAUGUUAACAUUGGUCCAGCACCAGUAGGUAGGCUGGUGUAAGCCUGAAUCCAGGGUCAGCCUCAACAUCUACACUACCUUGUAAUUGAUGCUGUUAGCCUUAGCACGCUACACUACCUUGUCAUUGAUGCUGUUAGCCUUAGCACGCUACACUACCUUGUCAUUGAUGCUGUUAGCCUUAGCACGCUACACUACCUUGUUGUAAUCAAUGCUGUUAGCCUUAGCACGCUACACUACCUUGUUGUAAUUGAUGCACGUCUGUUAAACACAACCGUACGAGAUACAUUUUCAUUCUCUAACCACCACAGCGCUGGUUCCUGUACCCCCCGGACAAGGCGCCCCAUUUCCACCCCAACUACACCACCCUGUCCUGGGUCAAAGACACAUACCCUUACCUGCUUGAGGAGAAGCCCAUAGAGUGCACCAUCCGGCCAGGAGAGGUGCUGUAUUUCCCUGACCGCUGGUGGCACGCCACGCUCAAUCUGGACACCAGUGUCUUCAUAUCCACCUUCCUGGGCUGACCCCUGACCCUGCAACAGACUAAGGGUCAUUGCCCCCAAUUGAAAACUGCCCAAAAAGUUAUCAAAAGCUGUAUUUCUGUUGUCGUCAUAACUACUAUGUAGAUCAGUGGUCCAUCUGUUCAGAGACAAAGAAACAAAGCGGUCAAAGACUAUUGGAACGUCUACUGACCAAUAGGAGAUGAGUGUGGCUUGUUCUGACUGUAUUCCCUGGAAGUCACACACUGGUUUUCCAGCCGUUUACACUUCUGGGACUUUUCCCCCAUCGGUUCCAUGGUACCGGGCCAACUACGUCAAAUGCAGCUAAUAUAUUUGACAUUUAUUUUUAAAGAAAAUAAAGUACUUGAAAAUAAGAUGGACAUUUGUAUCUUGAUUAUCAAUGUAAACACUGCAGCCUCUAAGUUGUAGCCUUUAUUGGAACACUUGUAGACAACAGCACAACAGUGAAAUAAAGAACAUUCACAGUCCCAAUGAGGCUCCAGAGAAACUGGACUGUACCCAAGUUCCCACCCCCCUCUUAGGAGGAAUCGGGGCCUAGGGGGAGAGGAGUAUGUCCACACCCCUAUCCCACAUAAACACACCCCUACAUGUACACAUAAUAUUGAUACUCACGACUGACUAACACAACAUAACUGUGCAUCCUCAUAUCCAGCAGAGGGUAGGAAUAUACAGGUUCAUUUCACAUUCAAUUCUUUUCAGUUGGUAAGUCAAACAGGGUCAUAUGAUUUCUGAAAUGAGAAGAGGAAACUAUCUGUUUGCAGCAGGGUUGAGGGGUCGAAUUGAAAAUGACUUAAAAAAAAAAAAAUAUUUUAAUUUAUGAAUUUGCAUUCUAAAACCGACAAUUGAAAAAUGUAAUCGACCCCAACCAUGCUUUGCAGCCAUUGGACUAAGGCUCUAAGCGUGGAAUCAUUAAAACAAAAGAGACCCCGAGCAGUAAGUUAUACUGAGGAGAAGACAGCCCUUCUCAAAGCCAAUCAGAUGACUGACUUCCAUAUUCUACUUCAAACUCCACUUGAGGCACAGACAGGACACCACCUGCAAACAUUCAAUGACAUGUAAACCAGAGAAAACACAUUACAAUUAAACACAGCCGUCAAAAACACACCUGUGACUCACACAAUUUUAAACCAAUCUUUUUAAAGAACAUUUGGAAUUGGGUUUAAUCCAUUGACUGGAAUUGAAAUAGAAUUGACCCCAACCCUGACCCCUACUGCUACGCACUUCCCCAUUCAUUAACGCUCAGCUCUGUAUGAGCCAGAUGAGAGGCAACAAAAUGGUGGAAACUCAGCUCGCCAAAAUUAGAGACGUCCUUGGUCAAAAAACAACCCUUUGCGCAAAGCCUUGAAUGCUCUUCCCAGACCCUUCCAUCAUAUUGAUUACACAUACUGCUUCCCUACAUACUGCAGAACACUGAAGAUGAGGGCUUGGGUUUCUCUCUAUAUUAUACAACUCAUGCUUAUACAGUCUUUUCAGCCCUCCAAGAGGAUAUAGAGAAGUGCUGCAUUGUGGUGGUAAGAGAUCAGGUUGGGUUUCAAAUUGGCCCAUCACUCAAGAGGACUACAUUGGACCAUCUACAAGCCACUCAAGAGGACAACAAUGGAGAGUGGCGAAAACAUGGCGGUGCCUCAGACAGUCCUCUUCCCCGUAGAAAAGGAGAUUUAAAAUAGAAGACAAGUUGUGGAGCAUCACCACAAGUAGAGUACAUUUAGCCCUGAUUGGUCAAUCGCUGCACUUGCAGACUCGAGGUCUAGGAUGUGAUUGGGUUUAGGAGUCUGCAAUAUGAUUGGUUGUUCUGAGAGUAACGUUUAAGCGAUUGGCCCAAGGUGUUGGGUACUACAUUCUGAUUGGGUCCUGUUGUUGGAUGAUGUGCUCUGAUUCGGUGCAAUGUUUGCUAGCGUGUCCUGAUUGUUGGGUCUGACUAGUAUGAGCAGCUGAGAGACACAAUAAAAUAAAUGGGGGGGACAAGGAUGGAAACAGAAAGAGAUGAUCAACAGGAGAUUUAAUGGCAGUCCUAGUAUCAGUCUGUGGUGUAGUCUCAGUCCUAGUGAAGGUAUGUCAGUAUGUGGUGUAGUCUCAGUCCUAGUGAAGGUAUGUAAGUCUGUGGUGUAGUCUCAGUCCUAGUAUCAGUCUGUGGUGUAGUCUCAGUCCUAGUGAAGGUAUGUAAGUCUGUGGUGUAGUCUCAGUCCUAGUGAAGGUAUGUAAGUCUGUGGUGUAGUCUCAGUCCUAGUGAAGGUAUGUAAGUCUGUGGUGUAGUCUCAGUCCUAGUGAAGGUAUGUAAGUCUGUGGUGUAGUCUCAGUCCUAGUGAAGGUAUGUAAGUCUGUGGUGUAGUCUCAGUCCUAGUGAAGGUAUGUCAGUAUGUGGUGUAGUCUCAGUCCUAGUGAAGGUAUGUAAGUCUGUGGUGUAGUCUCAGUCCUAGUGAAGGUAUGUAAGUCUGUGGUGUAGUCUCAGUCCUAGUGAAGGUAUGUAAGUCUGUGGUGUAGUCUCAGUCCUAGUGAAGGUAUGUAAGUCUGUGGUGUAGUCUCAGUCCUAGUGAAGGUAUGUAAGUCUGUGGUGUAGUCUCAGUCCUAGUGAAGGUAUGUAAGUCUGUGGUGUAGUCUCAGUCCUAGUGAAGGUAUGUAAGUCUGUGGUGUAGUCUCAGUCCUAGUGAAGGUAUGUAAGUCUGUGGUGUAGUCUCAGUCCUAGUGAAGGUAUGUAAGUCUGUGGUGUAGUCUCAGUCCUAGUGAAGGUAUGUAAGUCUGUGGUGUAGUCUCAGUCCUAGUGAAGGUAUGUAAGUCUGUGGUGUAGUCUCAGUCCUAGUGAAGGUAUGUAAGUCUGUGGUGUAGUCUCAGUCCUAGUGAAGGUAUGUAAGUCUGUGGUGUAGUCUCAGUCCUAGUGAAGGUAUGUAAGUCUGUGGUGUAGUCUCAGUCCUAGUGAAUGUAUGUAAGUCUGUGGUGUAGUCUCAGUCCUAGUGAAGGUAUGUAAGUCUGUGGUGUGGCCUCAGCUUUAAAGUGCAGAUCAUACUUGUUUGGUUUGUUGUCGUCUUUUUAUGUCUGGUUCUUCUUUUGGAAUGAUUCCAACUCCCCCUCUCUCUCUCCCUCCCUCCUUCAGUAGUCCUCCACC